GAGGAGAGCAGGAGACACUUUGCUAGUAACAAGCCAAUAAUUGUGUUGUUCUCCUGAGAUUGAAACUCUCACAUCCUCAUUCUGAAGCUCAUUCAGCACAACAACAGCAGAGGCGUCAGACCUACAGUGGAUGUUUACUCUCUUCAGAUCAUCACAAGUGUGAUUGAACAGGUACAAAUGUGGCGGAGAAAGAAAAUCACACAUCCAGAAAACUGCUGGAGCCUCAGAAAUCACAGAGCAGCAGAAAACAAGAAGACAGAGAGAGAAAUGGAGACACAAACCAGUGGAUCACAAGAGAGAAGAGGACUGAGAGCUGAUAAAUGUGGCAGUAUGGGACUAAAGCCAGACUUGUCAUGUGAUCCAGAUGAUCCUGUAAAGAUUGAUUCUGAUGCCAAAACUCUCUCAUCAAAACCUUCAUCAUGAUCUCAAGAUCACUCAACAUCACUGAUGAAGACCUGAACAUCUUCAUCAUCAUCAUCAUCAUCAUCAUCAGAACACAGUCUGUUCUAUUUCAUCUUUUACAUCUUUUACUCAUCUGAUCUCAAACAGACUAAUGUGAAAGUAAAAGUGAGGUAACAUGUGGCCAAGUAUGGUGACCCAUACUCGGGUCUGCAUUUUAACCCAUCCAAGUGC